rnacentral:tRNA from 1 species
GGGCCCGUAGCUCAGGGGUAGAGCAGGAGCCUUUUAAGCUCUGUGUCGAUGGUCCGAUUCCAUCCGGGCUCA